UACGUAGGGGGCAAGCGUUGUCCGGAAUCAUUGGGCGUAAAGCGCGCGUAGGCGGCCCGAUAAGUCUGCUGUGAAAGUCCAGGGCUCAACCCUGGAAUGCCGGUGGAUACUGUCGGGCUAGAGUUCGGAAGAGGCAAGUGGAAUUCCUGGUGUAGCGGUGGAAUGCGCAGAUAUCAGGAGGAACACCUAUAGCGAAGGCAGCUUGCUGGGACGACACUGACGCUGAGACGCGAAAGCCAGGGGAGCGAACGGG
rnacentral:rRNA from 1 species